rnacentral:tRNA from 1 species
UUAGGGAGACCUACCCGCUCUAGAAUCGAAAGCACAGUGCCAAUAGAUUCAGAGUUGGUCAUCCUAAGGUCGAAACGAGUUACAGAUACAGGCUUUCAAACUAUUUGGUUCGGUUCAUGGGCUAUUAGCUCAGGUGGUUAGAGCGCACCCCUGAUAAGGGUGAGGUCCCUGGUUCGAGUCCAGGAUGGCCCACCUUAAUGCCUCAGUGAUGAGGUGUAAAUGGGGGUUUAGCUCAGUUGGUAGAGCGCCUGCCUUGCAAGCAGGAUGUCAGGAGUUCGAGUCUCCUAACCUCCACUCAAUAGGUUUGUUUUGCACACUUAUUGGAAAUGUUACGGAGAAAGUGGUAGGGCAAGAGCUAUCACCCAUUUUGAACUUAAGAGGACUUCAGCAACUGGUCUAGCAAAUCUGCUAAGCUAGAGAGCCUGCUGGAGAAGCUCCAGCCAGAACCUUGAAAACUGCAUAGUAAUUUGUCAGGUAGAGCGUUAGGCAAGAGACUCGACUGGAGAGUUGUAGGAUUUAUUCUGCUACUUACGGGUAGAGUUGAUUGACUAACACUCACAGACACCAAUGAUUUGUUAGU